UCCCCUGGAUUCUAAGAGAGAAGGGCUUCAGCCACAAAGUUGAAUUCUAGGUAUGAAUUGCCCAAUAGCUGUUGGUGGUAAGGCCUGGAGCUCUGGUUUGAGCCUAUGUCCAGUUAAGAACACCAGUGAGUAGUAAAAUUCCUACUUGACUCUAACCGCACUGCUGCAGAGCAGCUGGCAAAAUGGUCUCUUCUGAUUACUUCUUUUCUCUUGACAAUCACAGAUGGAGCUGCAGAAGAGCCCUCUCCAAAAUCUUGGAAAUAAUAUCAUGCCCAGAAUUAUUGCCAAAAUCCUGGGAAGUAAAAACACAGAUUUAAAGGACUGCUUCCCCCAGGGGAAAGGACUGGGCCCAGCUGAGGAAGGAGUCUAGUCUGUGAAAUAAGCUUAUUUGAACAUCUCUGAGGUUUCUAGAACAGUGACUCAACCUUCCAAGUCAGUCUUGUCCAAGAUUCUAGGAGUAAAGAAGGAAAUCAGAAGGAGUAAAGAAGGAAAUCAUUGUGACUUCAACUUAAAACAAUAAUCAUCCUUCCUUAAUGCCCCAUCUCUCCCUACCAUAUUGUUCCCAAUUAUUGGAGCAGAAGACUAUUUCAAUCAUUAGAAAUCAACAACAGCACAGGCAUUGUUCACCAGCUAACAAUUGCAUCAUCUUCCAGUGGUGCUGUACUAUGGAGUCACACAGCAAUACUGCUACUCACACCUUCUUGUCAACUGUUGGAAAUGGCCAUCCUGAUUAUCACUACAAACUUUUUUUUUCUCCUGCUGAUAACAGCCGACCUUAAUUGAUUAGUCUCAUUAUAGUUGGUAUGGCA